UGCUCCCCUGUUGGGCCCCAUUUUGGCCCUGGUUUAGGCCUUGAGAACAAACCCGAGCCUGGCUGGAGUUUUGAGACCUGUCUCAGUCACUUCCACAUUGGAUGACUCAGCAAGACCUGUUUGGCCUUGCCUCUGCCCUGCCAUUGCUGACGUAGAGAUUUGCCAUUGGCCCUGUCAGUCACUCCAUACCCUUCAUCACCCUUCCUUGACUCCUACAUCAUCUUACCCUACCAAAAGUCUCCCUCCCUAUGUUCCAAACUUAUAUAAGUGAGAGGCUGAUGCCAUAAAAUUGAGUUCUUGCUUCUACAAGAAUCCCAGCUCGGUGUGUUUCUUUUGGGCCUAAACAUUCACUAUCCUGCUCAGCUCUGGAGAGACCCCGGAGGACAAGGACGGGGACCUCUCUCCUCUCUCCUGGACCUGCAGGCAAGGAGCCCUCACUCCCCUUCAAUCUCUCUCUCUCUCUCUCUCUCUCUCUCUCUCUCUCUCUCUCUCUCCCUCCCUCCCUUCCUCUCUCUCCCUUGUUCUGCUUCCAUGUAUUGAAAUAAGGUCUUCUCCAGCUCUCGUCCCACACCCACAGGCCUUGCUUUGAUCCUACCUGUGGAGGAUGGGCACUUCCCUCCUGUGAACUCCGAUGGCUAUUCAUAACAGGCAUCCUGAAAUAUUCCUUAUUGCAGUCCUGUAUUCAGGAUCAGCAGAUGGUUUUUCUGAAGGUCCAGAUGAAACUAUUUCAGGCUUAACAAUCACACACAUGUAUCUGCACACUUUUCUUUCUUUGAUAAUCUUUUAUCUUCUUAACUAGGAGCGUUUGUAAGUAUAGAUGGUGUCCUAAAAUACAUAGCCCCUGCACAGUUUGCCAACAUGUUCCUUAACACUGCCUUCCUAACUCAGGUACAUUGUGGACAGAAAAAAACAAAACAAACAAACAAACAAACAAAAAACCCACCUUACUCACCAGCAUACAGUGGGGGAAAUGUCCAUUGGAUUCCUCUAUUCUCUGUUCUCUUACAGCAUGCUUAGAGAUGUUGAUACUCGAGACAAUUGUGCUGUAGAAGUCUGGGGAAAAUGGUGUGUGUACAUGUAUUGUGUCAUUUACAGAUAGUAACCUGUUCAUAUACCAGGCUGCAUGCUGGGUCAGUCAUCUGCCUAUGGUGAAACAGAGGGGAGCCAUGGAAUGGAUCGUUACCAACUUGGAUUCUUGGGAUCAAACACAGAUAUUCAAAGGAGACUUCCUGGCUAAACACUUUACAAAAAUAGAUUUACAAAAAACAAGGGAAAAAAAAAACAACAACAACGAAAACACAAGUACUGAGAGUCCCUCUGUGUUACCCCAACAGCGUGUAGCAGUAGCUAUGAAGGCACAGGUAGGAGGCAUGGUCUACGAGAUAAUCUCUUCAAAGGUGGGGAUAUUCACAUACACGUAACAAUGAUAUCAUUGGGCAGAGUCUAAACCCAACAUUCUUCUGUGUUCCAUGUUCUUUUACACACAGUCUGGAGAUGGUUCUACAUGAUAGUUUUAAGGAUUCGGCUUUUUGGGGUGUGAUUGAUUACAUGAGAUCAGGUGAGGAAUUUUCUACUUGUAUCCAAAGGAGGGGAAAACCAGCUUUAUGUUUUUAGAUUAGGGAUGCUCAGCCUGUAUCCCUCCCUCUUUGGGGGAAGAGGCCAAUGAGGAGCUGGGAGUUCUGGUUUCCAGGAGCUACUAUCCCGUCUCCACCUAUGCCUGAAAGUAGAGAGAAGCUGGAAAAGGAAGCCCUGGAGUCCAUUCCCAGGGCUUCGGCAUCUGACUCUGCUAGAGCUCAGAAAAGCAAGUAGGGCGUGAUUAGUGCUACAGCCUGCUGAGCUAAAAUUUCUCGCCCAAGGAACUUUCUAAGUCAGCUCCCAGGUUUUCACCUUAGUGCAAAGUGUUCAUCUUCCUUGGGGGGAAAGAAUCAAAUGGAAAUGCCUCUUCAAAAUCUGCCGUCCGUGCUCCAGGAAGUCUUAACUGACGCCCGGUUCCACCUUGGAUCCAAACCUUGAUGUCCUGACGAUGUUAUUACUUCCUACCUCAGAUCUUCACCCACCCAGAGCAACUCACAUCUGACAAGAGCUUUCUUUGUGGUCCUUGCCAAAGAAUCUAAGGGUCCGUUUGAAGCAUUUUUCUUUUUUUUAAUCCUAAGAAAAUUUAUUUCCACAUGCACACGGGAUGAGAAGUAUGUGAAGCCCAUCCAAAACAAAGGUGCUCGAGACUGUUUGAAGUUCCAGUGUUCUUUUCUCUCUUAAGCCACAUGUUGUAGAAGAAAAGGAGAGAGGGCUUCCAAGCCAAGCUGCCCUCUGAGUAAGUUAAUCCUUCUAGGAGUCCUUGUGACAAAAGCUAAAGACCCUGCUGCUGAUUUCGAAGUCACAAAACAAGUUAAACAUCCAAACUAUUCUGCUGUCUCUAAAAUACUAAAACUCGAGACGGUCUGCGAUAUUUGUUGACGUUUGUUAUGCUUCUGAUGAACAAUUAGCCUACAAGAAGAUUAACAGGAAAUUCCAUUCAUGAGAUAAGCAGCUGUUCCUGCAAUCCUUCAGCCAGAUCAUGAGACCCAAAAGCUUCUUUAUACAGCUUCUGUUUGUUGAAUAGUCAGCAUUCCGACAUGUCCCAAAGGAAAUGCGUUUAAAAUAACUUUUUAUGGCUAAUUUUGACUCACAGUUUUGGCAAGGGAAAAUAGCUUUUAAGGUUAAUUUUUACUCUGAUUGUACUUUGUCAGUUAUGAAUAUUUAUCAGCGACUUUAAUUACCACAUGAAUUACAAAUACCAGUCUUCAACCAAUGACCCACCCCAGUAAUUACCAAACUGAUUUGCAAUCCUAAGGUUGGCCUCGAGAGCCCAUAUUCCUUAGUAUUGAAUAAUGCAUUAUUAUUUUAUUCUUCCAAGAAAGUUCAAGAAUACACUCUCCUACAAAAAUACGUCUUCUCUUUUUGAGCUAGCAACGCAUGUAACAUAACACUUAGAUUAUAGCUCCUAACUUACUGGGGCCAAAGCUUCAAAUGACUAAAAAGAAAAAGAACAUAGCUAAGACAGACUGAAAGAGGAACAAUAAAGGAUUUGGAUAACAUUUUAUCAGCUCAUAGGUUUCAAAGACCAUAAACUACUUAGCUAUGAAAGCAAACAUCUACCUUCAAGAAUAAUUUCCAACAAACCACAUAGUGGUGUCUCUUUACAUGUUGUCUCAAGAGUUCGGGGAAUCUUGUCAUCGGAGGUAACUUUUCUCACUUGUAACCUAAGAUUCCACUGGGCAACAAUUGUUGCUCCUCAUUUAUGCACACUUAUGGUUUUACAAAAGCUCCUCUUAACAAGUGACUCUUUUGUGUUUACAAUAUAAAUUCCAUACAAUAUUUGAGUAAGGAAUUAAUGACUAUUGAAUAUGUUGUUGCCAACAUACUGUUUGUAUUGAAUUUCCUACAGAGCACAACACGAAUAAAAAAGCAAACUCUUCCGUAUGAAAUGCUGAAUCCUAAUAUCUCUCUCUCUCUCACACAGAGAGAGAGAGAGACAGACAGAGACAGAGACAGAGACAGAGACAGAGAGAACAUCUAGUCAGGUGAAAUGUAUUGCAGUAACAUGAAAAAAAUGGCAGCUUUGUGAACGUGUAGGACAUGAAGUUUUUCAUGAAAGGGGAAGGGCUCCAUCAAAGACUCACUAACAACCCAUCACUCAUGACUGCUUCUGUAACUUCCUUCCUAUGCACCUUCCUAACCCUAGAGCUCGCUGCCCUCAACCCCCACACCCCUAUUAUUGGGAACCCUACCUGCCUCUAUCUAGCCUGCCAGCUUCUGCCUCUGAGACUCCAGUAAACUCAACCCUUCUUGGAUCCUGUGUCCUUAUCUCUCAAAUACUUCUAAGCAGGCAUUUCCUGAAUGAUGUUUAUUUAUAAGUUAUCCAUGUAUACCCUCUAAUUUCAAGGCCUGUAUCAAAACCCAGCAAAGUUAACAUCUUUCCUAUUUUCUUUUUAAAUCAAAGAACACACAUGCACUUGAUUUUCUCUUGUAUUUCCUCAAUUCAUUUGGGGGUACAAGUCUACUUUGCAACUUGGGAGAUCCCCAUUCAAAACAGCCACCACAUUAACAUUUCUGAAAUAAUAAGAGAUCAUAACUAAGAUCCCGUCUGCUCUCCAGCAAUUGUGGUCUUCAGUUUUUACUCUGAAGUAAUAACAGUGCCACUCCAGAUUUCUGCUUUUGCCCACAGGGCCUCAGACCUGGCUACAGAGAUAAACAUAUACACAGAGAUUAAACAGAUGCAUGGCUGCAGAGAGACCUUACUCAGUAAAAUGCUUACAGCUCAAACAUGAGGACCCACAUUCAAUAUCCAGAACACACAGAAGCUGGGCAUGGGCACAGAAACAGUCCAGUCCCUGGCUCCUGGGUCAGCCAUCCUCUUCUUCUUGAUGUGUUCCAUGUUACUGAGAGUCCCUGCCUCAAAAAUGCAAGGUGAGCGCUCAGUUAUUAUGGGUGUCUGCAUAAGCAAGAGAGAGAUUCUCCUGCAGCCAUGCAAAAAGCAGCACGGGGUGGUGGGGGUGGGAGGUGGGGGGGAAGGGUAAGAGAAGGGCAGAUCUCUGAAGCUCAUUAGCCAGCCUAACAGGAUUGACGAACUCUGGGUCCAGUGAGAUGCGGUAUCAAAAUAUAAGGUGGAGAAGGGCAAUUAAGGAAGGCACAGAAGCCAACUUCUGGACUCCAUGUGCUUGUGCACACAUGUGCAUCCAUACUCACCUGCACACAAACAUGUGCACACACUGCACACACAUACACAGACCAGUGAAUAACAUGCUUGUUUGCCUUGAACUCGAGCUGGAUCACCAGAACCUAGGUUUAAAAAAAAGAUAAAAAAAAGAGGGAAAAAAAAAAAGCAAGAAGGCUUCUGGGUAAUUGGCAAUUAUUUUUGGUCCUGAGUAAGUUGCACAUGUUCCCAGUGGCUGGCCCCACACCCACAAGCCUUUGGGAAGUACUAAUUGGAGUCAGUGAUUUAUGAAGGAGGAGAAGGAGGGAGGGGGAGGAGGGGGGAAGAGGAGAGAGGAAGGGAGUGGAGAGGAAGACAUGAAUUUGGGAAGGGGAAGUCCUGUCAUCUGACAGGUGGGAAAUGGGUAGCUCUUAACUGGCCCCAGCUGGAGAAGUCUACGACUCAUAAAUCCAAACAGAUCCCACCUGCACCCCAACAUAUGCCGUGGCACUUCAUUUCCAUGGUUCAGUCCCUGCUGCUCAUCAGCGGCCACCUCCCCAUCAGUGGCACCAGCAGGCUUUGCUCUCUGCACCGCACCUCACAAGUACGCUCGUUCGUCCUCUCCCUCAUGCCCACGCGCACCGGCCACCCCCUUCCCACACCACCACAGAGAAGUCUCUUCAGUCUACCUUUUCCCUCUGCUGCUAACUACCCAGGCUCCUAGCAUUCCUUGCUUCAGUAAUUACACCUGUUUCCCCUGCCCACCUCCAUGUUCGCCUAUAGGAGUAAUAACCCGGUUAUCCUCAUGAGAACGUUCAGCCUACAUGAUUACUCCUGAUCAACGAUGGUUAUUUUAUACCAUCAAACCUGCUCCUGCUUUUGUAAGCAUCAAAAUGGUCUAUAACUCUGUACUAGCUGGUUUUUGUGUGUCAACUUGAUACAAGUUGGAGUUAUCAGAGAGAAAGGAGCCUCCCUUGAGGAAAUGCCUCCAUGAGAUCCAGCUGUAAGGCAUUUUCUCAAUUAGUGAUCAAGGGUGGGAGGGCCCAUGGUGGGUGGUGCCAUCCCUGGGCUGGGAGUCCUGGGUUCUAUAAGGAAGCAAGCUGAGCAAGCCAAGGAAAGCAAGCCAGUAAGCACCAACCCUCCAUGGCCUCUGCAUCAGCUCCUGCCUCCAAGUUCCUGCCCUGUGUGAGUUCCAGUACUGACUGCCUUUGGUGAUGAACAGCAAUGUGGAAGUGUAAGCUGAAUAAACCCUUUCCUCCCCAACUUGCUUCUUGGUCAUGAUAUUUUGUGCAGGAAUACAAACCCUGACUAAAACAAACUCCAAAAUAUGACUAUCUGUCUUGAAAUUAUAAACACAUAUUAACUUCUCCUUUAUCUUUUGAGACCCAGGUUAAAAGUCACUUCCUUCUGUGUCCCAAACCCUUACAAAGUCACAGCCUCACUAAAUUUUCAAAGGAUUCAUGCAGAUCUCUCUUAUGCAGAUGCUAGCUUUCCGUUUGUUUGUUUGCUUGCCAACCCAGCUAAGGAAACUCACUAUUAUUCCCACCAGUUCCCAGAAAUGGAUUUAUGUUUGGGUAAAGGGUGGAGCAUGGAAGCAGCCAACAAGAUAGAAUUCCUUUAGUUCAUGAAAGGCUUCUGGGUAAUUGGCAGUUAUUUUUGGUCACUGGUAGGUAGUUAGAUGGAUGGAGUGAAGGAGGAAGAGGAGAGCAGAGAAGUCAGGAAGGGGAAAGGAGUCACAAAUAGUUCUCAAAAUAGUGAGGAAGUGAAAUAGAAUGGGUGAGAAUAUCCACGUGAUGUCUUAAGGAAUGGGGGAGUCCAUUACUUUAUUACUGACUUAUUUAUUCUGUAUGUUAUAGGCAUGUUUGUGAGUGCCGGUACGCGUGGAGGACAGAGGGCAGCUCCUAAGAGGAGGUCCUCUCCUCUACCUUGUGAGCUCAAGUCUCCAGGCCUGUGCGCAAGAAGCUCUAUGCCCGAGACACUUCUCUGUUUCUGUCUCUCAAUUUUGGAUUAAUUUCUCUACACCUUUGUGGCAUAACCUUCCUGGUCAUCAGACAACUAGCAAAAUCCCAGCUGAUUCAUGUGUGCACGUGUGGGUUCUGCAUAGGUUCCCAUGCCUGAGGUCAGCCCAGGAGGCCAGAAGAGGGCUUUGGAUCCUAAGCAACUGAAAUUAUAGAUGGUUGUGGGAGACCACAUAGGUACUAGAAACAGAACCUGGGUCAUCUGCAAGUACAGGAAGUGUCCUUAACUUGAGCCAUUGCUCAAGCCCCUUGUGCACAGUGUAUUUUAUUAGAAGGAACAAAUAAUCAGAGUUAUCAUGUAACUUUGGGUUGAAUCCAAGGAAAGAAUAAAGGAACAGUUGCAAGACAGAGUGGAGAACAAAAGUUCAGCAGAUGCUGGAGGACGAAAGUCGAAGUUACUAGUCAGGACAGGUAUGCGCAGGAAAUUUGACAAUAGCAUUGACCUUCUGUGGUCUCCAGGCCGGGAGAGUUGAGUAGAUCUAAUCUAGCUCUCAGACAAGGGUGGGAAUACCCUGUUGACGUUGGGCUUACUCUGUAUGUGACUCCACUGUAUCUGGAUCUCCUCCCGGUUGACACACUAAGCGACAAAUGAUUCAAGGACAGAAGUACCCUCAAUUAAGCAAAGUGAUUGUUUUAAAAGGAGUAACAAAUAUUAACACAUUACUUGGGGGAAACCAGGAAAGGGGAUAACAUUUGAAAUGCAAAUAAAGAAAAUAUCUAAUAAAAAUGUUUAAUUAAAAAAAACA
rnacentral:lncRNA from 1 species